AGCGAACGCUGGCGGCAGGCCUAACACAUGCAAGUCGAGCGGCCGUAGCAAUACGGCAGCGGCAGACGGGAGAGUAACACGUGGGAACGCGCCCUUCGGUUCGGGAUAACUCAGGGAAACUUGGGCUAAUACCGGAUACGCCCUUACGGGGAAAGAUUCAUUGCCGAAGGAACGGCCCGCGUCCGAUUAGCUUGUUGGUGAGGUAACGGCGCACCAAGGCGACGAUCGGGAGCUGGUCUGAGAGGAUGACCAGCCUCACUGGGACUGAGACACGGCCCAGACUCCUACGGGAGGCAGCAGUGGGGAAUAUUGGACAAUGGGCGCAAGCCUGAUCCAGCCAUGCCGCGUGGGUGAUGAAGGCCCUAGGGUUGUAAAGCCCUUUCAGCGGGGAAGAUAAUGACGGUACCCGCAGAAGAAGCCCCGGCUAACUUCGUGCCAGCCGCCGCCGUAAAAC
rnacentral:rRNA from 1 species